rnacentral:misc_RNA from 1 species
GGAAUCUGGAGAUUUGUCACCGAAAAUGCCCUGGCUGCGGGACACCAUUCAGACAAAGUGACGUCCGUGAGGAAUAGUUUCUGUACCGGCCAACUCUUGGAACAUUCUCAGUAUGCAUUCUCUCCGCCUACAUUUGCUGGGAAGGCAUUUGCGUGCAUCUACAACAAUAUGAAAUCGUUCUUGGUUUAUAUGACGUAAGAUAUUCAUGCUCAUUGACUUGUUU